AUUGAACGCUGGCGGCAGGCUUAACACAUGCAAGUCGAACGAGCGGCGGACGGGUGAGUAAUGUAUGGGGACUGCCCGAUAGAGGGGGAUAACUACUGGAAACGGUAGCUAAUACCGCAUACUAUCGGAUAACCCAUAUGGGAUUUGGUAGUGGGUAAGGUAAUGGCUCACCAAGGCGACGAUCCCUAGCUGGUCUGAGAGGAUGAUCAGCCACACUGGGACUGAGACACGGCCCAGACUCCUACGGAGGCAGCAGUGGAGAAUAUUGCACAAUGGGCGCAAGCCUGAUGCAGCCAUGCCGCGUGUAUGAAGAAGGCCCUAGGGUUGUAAAGUACUUUCAGUCGGGAUGCUACAGAAGAAGCACCGGCUAACUCCGUGCCAGCCGCCGCGGUAAUAC
rnacentral:rRNA from 1 species